rnacentral:rRNA from 1 species
CCUACGGGAGGCAGCAGUGGGGAAUAUUGCACAAUGGGCGAAACCCUGAUGCAGCGACGCCGCGUGAGUGAAGAAGGAAUUCGUUAUGUAAAGCUCUAUCAGCAGGGAAGAAAAUGAAGGUACCUGAGUAAGAAGCACCGGCUAACUACGUGCCAGCAGCCGCGGUCAUACGUAGGGGGCAAGCGUUAUGCGGAUUUACUGGGUUGAAAGGGAGCGUGAACGGCAGUGCAAGUCUGGAGUGAAAGGCGGGGGCUCAACCCGCGGACUGCUCUGGAAACUGUACGGCUGGAGUGCAGGAGAGGUAAGUGGAAUUCCUAGUGUAGCGGUGAAAUGCGUAGAUAUUAGGAGGAACACCAGUGGCGAAGGCGGCUUACUGGACUGUAACUGACGUUGAGGCUCGAAAGCGUGGGGAGCAAACAGGAUUAGAUACCCCAGUAGUC